ACGGGCGGGGCGAGCGUUAUUCGGAUUCAUUGGGCGUAAAGGGCGCGUAGGCGGCAGCGUAAGUCAGGGGUGAAAUCUCCACGGCUCAACCGGGAAAUGGCCUUUGAUACUGCGUUGCUUGAGUGCGGUAGAGGCAAGUGGAAUUCUCAGUGUAGCGGUGAAAUGCGUAGAGAUCCGGAGGAACCCCGGUGGCGAAGGCGACUUGCUGGGCCUGAACUGACGCUCAGACGCGAAAGCAUGGGGAGCGAACGG
rnacentral:rRNA from 1 species